rnacentral:rRNA from 1 species
CUCAAAUAAAUUGGCGGAAACGCGCACAAGCGGUGGAUGAUGUGGUUUAAUUCGAUGCAACGCGAAAAACCUUACCUACCCUUGACAUGUCUGGAAUCCUGAAGAGAUUUGGGAGUGCUCGAAAGAGAGCCAGAACACAGGUGCUGCAUGGCCGUCGUCAGCUCGUGUCGUGAGAUGUUGGGUUAAGUCCCGCAACGAGCGCAACCCUUGUCAUUAGUUGCUACGAAAGGGCACUCUAAUGAGACUGCCGGUGACAAACCGGAGGAAGGUGGGGAUGACGUCAGGUCCUCAUGGCCCUUAUGGGUAGGGCUACACACGUCAUACAAUGGCCGGUACAGAGGGCUGCCAACCCGCGAGGGGGAGCCAAUCCCAGAAAACCGGUCGUAGUCCGGAUCGCAGUCUGCAACUCGACUGCGUGAAGUCGGAAUCGCUAGUAAUCGCGGAUCAGCUUGCCGCGGUGAAUACGUUCCCGGCUCUUGUACACACCGCCCG